rnacentral:tRNA from 1 species
GUGGCUCAGUGGUUAAGAGCACUGGCUGCUCUGCCAGAAAACCUGGGUUCAAUUCCCAGC